rnacentral:lncRNA from 1 species
CGGUAAAUAAUUUUUGUAGCGUAAAAGCUAAAUAAAUUCAUAUAUACUGUAAUACAGAUAACCAAAGCAUAAGAUUUAAUUUACAGUGACACGUGGGCACACGAACAACCAAAAAUAUCAAAAGUGGUAAACCUACAGUUUUUGAAGAUGCAAGUCCAACUGUAGCCCUCAAUGAAAUGAGCUAUCUACUGACUAUCCUGAGCCUGAAAGGGGUGGAAAUGAGGGUCGUGAGAUUAUAUAAUCCCAAUGAGUAAACAAAUACCAUCUAAAAUAUCUAAAGCUGAGUAAAUGGAGACAGAUAAAAUAGUUUAACAUACUAUAAUUCAUCACCUUUCAACUCAUUUCAACCAAAUAAAAUCAAUUCAUAUAAAUCAAGUAAUCAACAUGGCUUAUGAAUUUCUUAAAACUUUAGCUAAUGCCAAAAUGAUUCUCGUACUCAGUUGUCAGGGAUACCUUGGCCUGAGGCUAUCCCAACCGAGUCCGUCAAGGUUGUUAAAAAGUCAUAUACGCAUAAAUCAUGUUUUUAUUUUGAAAACAUAGUCGUUCCUUGGUGUUGGCUGAGUUCACCCUCACGUGGUGGUUUGGCGUGAAGUGAACUCUAAAGUUUUAACCUCAGGAUUUGUCCACCCGCGCCUCUCAUACUGAGGUAUGAAUAUAAUAGGGUUACUGUGCCCCUCUAAUAGGCUGAUCCACGAAACCCGUCUACUGCAGUGACCAAUUUAUAACCCACCAAUUCAAUAAAAUUCAAUAGCAUGACAUGGCAAUUAUUUUAGUUUACAGCUUCUCAAGGCAAAUCAACAGUUCAUACUUUUUUAGCACAUUUACCAAAUCAACCAUUCAUGCCAAUAUUAUCAUAAGCCAUUCAAUUCAAACCAUGAUUUAUAACACAACAAUUAGUCUCCAAUUACUCCAUUUUCAAAACCAUCUUUCAAUUUCAAGACAAUUUUAUAAAAUCAUUUUCACUCAAUCACAUUUUGCUUAUAAAACAUAAAGAUUUACCAUUUAAACUCAUUUUCCAUAAAAUCACAAAAUCGGAUAAAAACCACUUUAGAUAAUUAAGACGAUAGUAAGGUUACUCACUAUUUUGGGAGUCGAAUUUCGAGUACUCCGAUUCUUGAUCCUCGGGUACUAUCUCUUUACUUUUGCCAGAAUACUCACCACCUAGACAUAAUGCACAAUAAGCCAUUUACUACAUUUGUGCUAAAUUGUUAUAAAACCAAUUCAGGCUUUAUACUAAUGCAUGAAAUGGAAUGCAAAUUGUUCGGAUUAUCGUCUAAACACGGUGUUCUACACAAAUUCAAUUGUGUACCUAAAUAAAAUGGUAUUGGCCUAAUUCGAUCUAUCACCCGAUUAAUUGGCCAAUACGUCCAAUUCAACUCCAAAUAAUUCCAUUUUUCUUCCAAUUCUCCAAACCAUCAAAUACAAGUCAAAUAGCAUAAAAUUUAGCAAAAUCAUCUUCACAUUUUCUUUUGGGAAUUUCGGCCAUGGUGGGUGAUCAAUACUAUGAUUUUUCCUACUUGAUUUUUUCACCGUAAUUCAUCAUUUCCUAACCAAUUUACUUGAAAUAAAAUCAAAAUCAUCAUCAAUAUUCCACAUGGAGAAUUCGACCAAUGAGGAUUAUGGAAGAACAUGAAUUUUUCUUGCUUGAUUUUCAUGCUACACAUCACCAAUCAACUAAAAACACUAGAAUAUCUUAAAAUCUAACCAAAACAAUCAUCAAAAUCUCUCUCGAAGUGUUCGGCCAGCAAGAGACCCAUCAUGAAAUCAUGUGAUUCAACCAUGAAAAAUGCAAAGAAUGUAUGGGAAAGGUAGAUCACAAGUCAAAAUCAAGAAAUCUUACGUUUGAUUGCUUGAUUACUUG